rnacentral:lncRNA from 1 species
CUAAAAAUUACCAAAUUCUCCAAUAAUCAUUCUAAAGAUUAAUUUAAACAAUUUGCUUUAGGAAUCAACUGAUUUUGAAAAAUGUUUAAGUUAACCUUGUCAAACAAAUUGAUAAUAUAGAAAGUUCUUCUGAAGAUAAAUUAAUCCACUGUAAAGAAUAUUUAUAAUCUCAUGUUUUUCUUAUUUCUACUUUGGAAGAAAACUAAGUUCUAUAACUUAGUCAUAAUUAAAAUAUUUCUAGUCAAAAAGAAACAAAACUUCAGUUACCUAAGAGUGACAGACUAUAAGCAAAUUUAACUUGAAAAACUGUCGCUUUUCAACUGUGUAGUGUUUGGUAGAAGUACAUUACCAUCUUCCUAAAAAUUAUAGUCUUAAAUUACCCAAGACCUAUUACCCUGAGCAAAGUUUUUCUUUUUCUUUUUUCUUUUUUUGAAUAAGUAAUUUUAUAUUAUUUCAGUUUUGAAACUCAUUCCCAGAUCUGGUUGAUGUUCAGCCUGCAGGUCUAACACGUAUUUCCUUUAGAUUUCACAUGAUAAAAUUUAUUGAGAGAAUGAAAGCUUGAGGAAAACCUGUUUGUUCCUGUUAUCUGAUAAGAAUGAUCUUUUUUGAAAAUGUUAACUGAAUGGUGGACCCAUCUUAGUUUAAUAGCAUUUUUCAACAGCUCUUUUUUCUUGAUAUUGCAAUGAUAUGAUUUAAAUAUCCCAGAAUAUCACUGUACUGCUCAAAAUAGCUACAAAGUUAGUAUUUCUCUUGAUUUGUUUUCUUGAGACAGGGUGGUUACUUAGUAAUAAUACUUCUAACAUGUAUAACAUAAUAUUGGAUUCUUAAGUGUCCACUUCUCUUGUUCCACUGAAAGACAAUCCCAGCUCUUCAGAGUGGGUCCUUCACUGGUCUUCUUUGUGCUCCCUCCUUGCAGCUGACAUGACUUGCUACUUCACAGGAAAUGGGAGUCCAUCACUUUCCUAUGUUAUCCAUCCCAUUUUCCACCCUCAUGUACAACUCCCUUCUCUAAUCUUAGUUUGGCUAUAGGAUAUGGUACAAUAAGAUUCAUUUAAUCAUUCAUUGGACAAAGUACUUUGCAAACAAUCUCAUUUAAUUUUCACAACAUCCCUGUGAGGUGAUUACUGUUUUAAUCUGCUUUUGAAGAUGAUGAAACUGGGACUUGGAAAGGUUAUCAAAGACAGUAGUUUAUACUUUUUGGUUUGCAUCUCAUCUGUGCCACUUAUUAACUGGACAACCUUAGACAAGUUUAUUUUCCUGUGUCUCUUUCAUCAUUGGCAAAACAAGGGAUAAUAGCAUAAUUAUGCCUAGUUUGUAAAAUUGUGAUAAGAGAAAUCAAU